rnacentral:rRNA from 1 species
GAUGAACGCUGGCGGCGUGCCUAACACAUGCAAGUCGAGCGAACGGACGAUAAGCUUGCUUCUUUGAUGUUAGCCGCGGACGGGUGAGUCACACGUGUAUACUCUACCUAUCAGACUGGGAUAAUCUCGGGAAACCGUAGCUUAUACCGGAUGAUAUCUUGCACCGCAUGGUUGAAUAGUAAAAGACGGUCUUGCUGUCAGUUAUCGCUGGAUCCGCGCUGCAUUAGCUAGUUGGUAAGGUAACGGCUUAUCAAGGCGACGAUGCCUAGCCGAACUGAGAGGGUGAUCGGCCACACUGGAACUGGGACACGGACCAGACGCCUACGGGAGGCAGCAGUAGGGAAUCUGCCGCAAUGGGGGAAAGCCUGACGGAGCAGCGCCGCGUGAGUGAUGAAGGUCUUCGGAUCGUAAAACUCUGUUAUUAGGGAAGAACAUAUGUGUAAGUAACUGUGCACAUCUUGACGGUACCUAAUCAGAAAGCCACGGCUAACUACGUG